UUUCUCCCGCCCCCGUCCAAUCAGAGAAAAGGGAGUGGCUUGCGAGUCUAUUGCACAUGCGCAGUAGAUGCAGUGACCUCGUGGAGAAGUGAAAAAUGUUGUCUUUGUCUGUUCAGACACGUACACAGUGCGAUCAUAGAGAUUAAGACUGGAUGAUAAGAGGGCACCUCAGGGCAAUAUAACAAAGGCUGGCUCCAGGAUCUAGGACGCGCUUCUGAAAUCAACGAUUAAUGGAUCAGUUCCAAAGAUGAAGAGGAAGACCUUGAACCUUUCUUCCCAGGUCUAUAUCAAUGUCAGUCUAGAAGAGAAUAUCGAAGAGUGCCUGUGCUACCAUCGUCAAUUUAGAGAUUGAUCCUUGAUUGACCGAAAGAAGGCUGUGUAAUGUCCCAGUGUGACAGUCAACUGAUUGUGUACUGUACAACUGCCAUCAAUGUCUACACACUUUGUUUGCUUGGAACGCGGAGAGUAUACUCGUCUAUAAGUAAGAAAACAGCAAGUUAUUAUCAUUCUGACUGUGUCGGCAUAAUUAUUAAGUACCUGAAUUUGGACUUUGAAGUUUGUACAAUUUCUGUAUGAGAACUCUUUGUUCACCCCGUUUGAAACUUACGUGUGUAUCUUGGUUGAUUUACGUGAAUACAGAGGCAUUUUGGUAACGCCCCCAGUUCAUUACUUAUCUCCAAUUCUACCUUCUUGUCAAGGCAUCGGUAGUAAUUAUAGUGACUCUUUAACUACUAUACUGUACUGUUCUAUGGCAAUUGAACGCAUGCGAUAUAAUGUACGCAAAUAUCACACGUCACGUGAUGACUUCUAAAUUAAUACCUGACACCAUAGAUAAAAGAGAGAUAUCUACUUUCCCCUCGAAGCUAGCUAAAAGAGCCUUUUUAUGUGGAUAGAUUCUAUCUCCCUAUAUUAAAGAGUCUCCUCUGUACUUACUAAUCCAGCAACAGUUCUUGUCGCAAUCUCCUGAAUGUAUCCUGGAAACCCAUUGAAAAUGUACGAGAAGCUGGGAGUGUUGAACAUGCAUUGAAGGACAGCAUUCAUAUAGCCAUUUGACGCUAGGUUGGUAAAGCCUGGUGGAUAAGCUAUAUUGCCAUUGUACACCUCUCCUGGUUAACUGGCUUAGAGGCUUGGGUUUCGAAUUCCUCCUGAGAGGGUCAGGUUUCUUCCUGGAAAGACACAAUGGUUUCCUCUUGCUCAUGUUGGCCAGCUGAUAUACCUCUUCAAUGUUUAAAGUUCGCGUGCAGUUGGAGGUAAAUACGUGGGUAUGGUAUUAUUCGGACUUAUAUGUGAUUCCGUAAAAUACUGAGCCCAAAACUAGUGUUCAAGCUGGCGCUGUGCUAAUACAUGUACCUCUCGCCAUGUUUUUGCUUUCGCUCAAAAGUAUUAGAGUGUUAGUUUCUAUAAUGAAUUUUAUAUUAAAGUUAGCUUAUCUAUAUAAAGUCACUGAGAAGAAAAGACUUAUUUACAUGCAUUUAUUGUUGUUAUUGUAUUAUGUGGCUUACCAGGACCUCAAGAAAGACGAUCUGUAGUUCAAUAUCUAAGAAGAAAAGACCUGUGUACUUGCAUAUUGUUAUCUAUAUUGUUAUAUGGUAGUGUUUUGUGGCUUACCAGGCCCUCAAGACAAAGAUGAUUCUGCCAGGAGGAUCUGGAUCUGGAUCUUGGGUAUUAUUUUCAUGGGGAAUGAGCGCGCAUGCGCAUUACAUCCAUAGGAAUAAUUAAAGGGUGUGUCCUAGCUGUUUUAACAGAUAUUUUCUGAGUAUUGUAGCUAACAAAAAGCUAUGCUAUGAAAGAUUCUGAAGAGACUUCAACAGCCUUCAAUGUGAGUCAAACUAGCCAUAACUCGAGAAAGAAGCUUUAGUUUGCUAAUCCACGAAUCAAAAUCCAAGAGAACGUGGCUAGAAGCCUAUAGAAGCUGUUAGCUUUCGUCGCAUUGCAAUCGUUGAGCAGUUACAGCUGGAACAGACACACACACACACACACACAGUCAGCUUUACCGUAUCCCUCGUGCGGCUACGCCUCGAGGCAUAAUAAAAUUUGCUCAUGAAAAACCUUUGCGAACGAGCCGAAUCAGCAGAAAAUUUGACACUUUGUGAUCUAACUAUUGCAGGAUCGUGUGUAAAUACCAGUAAUAAUUUAGGUUUUGCGGAUUUUAUUGUUAUGAAUUGAUCAACCAUCGCAAAGUUGGCAAAUGUUUGAUACUCACAACACAUUCUAGUAAUUAUGGCUUUUUUCAGCAAUAUAAUUAUUAUGCCAAGUCGUUCAUUCAACAGUACUACUCUGCUCUCACGGACUACCCUUUGCAAGUGUGUGACACUGCUUGUGUGAAACCUGACCAAUAAUUUUUAGUUCCUGCCACGUGUAAUAAAUUGGUGCAGGGAGCAGGAAACAAACUGCAAAGGGAAGAGAGUAAUUGCAAAUAGCUCAUUAAUAUAUUUAUGAGAAAAUAAAACUCCACAUAGGAGCAUGCGCGCUGGAACCAUUGUGGGCCCUGAUAAAUUAUGUUCGGAAUAAUUUUAGCUCGAUUAAAAUUACAUUAUAAGGUGAAGAUUAUGGAUCAACUCAAGUCAGCAAGAGAAACAUAGUGUUCAAGCUGGCGCUGUGCUAAUGCCUCUCGCCAUGAUUUGCUUUCGCUCAAAAGUAUAGAAGAGGAAGUAUAGAAGAGGAAAAAGUGUAUAAAAUAAUCUGUCUAAAACUGACUUCAAUUGUAUAAUUAUGGUAUCAUUGUUGUGUUUAGUAGCUGCUUAUACCAGGACCUCAAGGAUCUAGGAAGCAACAAAGAAGAAGAUUUUGUUUUCAAUUAAUUAUAAGCGGAAGUGCAUAAUUUAGGUAUUUUCUGAGUUUUGUAGCUAACAAAAAGCUAGCACUUUAGUGCAAGGCUAACUCAUAUGUUGAAUAGAAAGUUUGUGCGGACAGAUGAUGCUAUGAAAGAUUCUAAAGAGAACUGCAACAGCCUUCAAUCACCCUCUUCAGUUCUCUGCGAGUGUGCAUGGACACUGCUUGUGUGAAUUAAUGUCUGGAGAACCUGGCCAAUUAGUCACAAGUGUUCCAAAUACAAUAUGCAUGGCCAUGCAGCUAUACUCUAUGCUAAGGGUGUUAUAGCAAUUUAUUUCAUGUGCUCCUGAUGUUUAUACCAAUUUAUUUAUGUUUUAUGCUCAAGUCCAUCAAAUCGCCUAUUAUUCCUCGCACAAUAUAACUAUAGCCUUACACGGCAGAUCCAGAGAGGGUUCUUUGGGUUCACCCCUGAGACAUAAGUGAGUGGGAGGCUUAAUA